rnacentral:rRNA from 1 species
GAAAACAAUUACACCCUGAACAACCCCGAUCCCAUCUGAUCUCGGAAGCUAGGCAGGGUUGGGCUUGGUUAGUACUUGGCUGGAGACCACCUAGGAAGAGCAGGUAUUGUAGGCA